AGUCCUAAUACAUGCAAGUCGAACGGUAGACUACUUUCGGGUAGUUGAGAGUGGCGCACGGGUGCGUAACGCGUAUGCAACCUACCUUGUACAGGGGGAUAGCCCGGAGAAAUUCGGAUUAAUACCCCAUAGCAUUAUCAGAUGGCAUCUGAAGAUAAUUAAAGAUUUAUCGGUACAAGAUGGGCAUGCGUGACAUUAGUUAGUUGGUAAGGUAAAGGCUUACCAAGACGAUGAUGUCUAGGGGUUCUGAGAGGAUGAUCCCCCACACUGGUACUGAGAUACGGACCAGACUCCUACGGGAGGCAGCAGUAGGGAAUAUUGGUCAAUGGGCGAGAGCCUGAACCAGCCAUGCCGCGUGCAGGAAGACGGCCUUCUGGGUUGUAAACUGCUUUUCUACGGGAAGAAAAUGCCCUUGCGAGGGAAAUUGCCGGUACCGUAGGAAUAAGCACCGGCUAACUCCGUGCCAGCAGCCGCGGUAAUACGGAGGGUGCAAGCGUUGUCCGGAUUUAUUGGGUUUAAAGGGUGCGUAGGCGGAUCUUUAAGUCAGUGGUGAAAGCCUGCAGCUUAACUGUAGAACUGCCAUUGAUACUGGAGGUCUUGAGUACACUAGAGGUAGGCGGAAUUUAUGGUGUAGCGGUGAAAUGCAUAGAUACCAUAAAGAACACCUAUAGCGUAGGCAGCUUACUGGAGUGUAACUGACGCUGAGGCACGAAAGCAUGG
rnacentral:rRNA from 1 species